ensembl:lincRNA
CCCCGCCCGGCCCAGCUCCGCCUGCGGCCCAGGGUGCCCACAGACCCAGGGCAGUCUGAGAAGUCGGAACUCUGCAGUCCUUGCACAGCCCCGAGGGCCGGGUGGGCAGGAAGGUCCCAGCUGGAGUGGACGCAUGGAGGUGGGCGACGCUGGGGGCACCGGGCGCUGGAGGAAGCCGCCCAGCCCAGCGGGCAGGGGGAAGCCGCGAUGCUGACAGCCCCCUGCCAGGGGUGCCAGCCGUAGUUGGACACCAGCUGCCCACCCUCUGUGGGCGAGGGGGCUUGGCCCGUGGCAAGCAGGGUGGCUGGGGGGACCCAGGCCGGGGGGCAGGGUCCCCGCUGAUGGGGCGGCCGCCACAGAACUUAGCUGUCUGGGCUCGGGGACGCGUGGGCCCGGAGCCGCAAGGGCCCCAAGGCCGCAGGCGGGGCAAGGACAGCAGCACUGCGUUCCUGGGCGGGCUCCUCCCGCGCCAAGUGCUCAGCGGCGUCAUUGCUGAGGCCACAUGCAUCCUGCUGGGGGUGCAGCCAGGCCCCAGAGCGGUCCCUGGGGAAGGAAGCCCCCAGACGGCAGCCUGGGCUGAAGAGGGGNNNNNNNNNNNNNNNNNNNNNNNNNNNNNNNNNNNNNNNNNNNNNNNNNNNNNNNNNAGAGCGGUCCCUGGGGAAGGCAGCCCCACAGACGGCAGCCUGGGCUGAAGAGGGGAAGCCGCCCAGGACCACAGCUUGGAGACUGAGAGAUGGCUGAACACCCGGGGGAGGAUGGGGAGGCCUCCCCAGGUCACCCAGGAGUUUCCGGUUGGUUGUGUGCUUCCAGACCUUUCUUGGCAAAGUACGGGUGCACACCGGGGCCAUCACGCACAGGACCCCGCCACCCCGUCUUCCUGCCCGCUGGCCGUCAGUCCGCGUCCCCCGUGGCAGGAGGGACUCCGUGCAUCUGCUGGCUGCCGUCCCCCCGCCCCGGGGAGGCGGGGCGGGGCGGCGCGCCGCUGUCUCUCCAUCCAAGCUGCACGGGACGUGCCCCCUCGUCCCAGAGCAACACUCCUUUCUCCUGAGCUCCACGCACGGCUGCCUUUGGGCUCCAUUCUUGGACGUGUCUGCCUGGGUGGAGGCGCGAGCCAGGGACCCCCGCACUCCCCAAGGGAAGGCAUCCCAUAUGUACCACCGGGCCUCCCCGGACGCCCACCAUGCAACCCUUUGGGCCCCAAGCUUCAGCACACGCUGAGCCGUCUCGAGCAGGGGUCUCCUGCUCAGCGUUCCACAGAAGCCCUUUGCAGGCAAGGAAAGCAACGACUCCCUGUGUCCCGGGGCUCUCCCUGUCCCGGGGUUCCCUGGGUCCAAGGACUCCAUGUCCCGGGACUCCCCGGGACUCCCCAGGCCCCCCGUGCCCAGGGCUCCGCCUGUCCUUGGGCCCCCGGUGUCCCAGGCCCCCCCCCACCCCCCGCCCCCCCAACCCCGUGUCCGAGGACUCCUGGCCAGCAGGUGGCAGACCCAGCAAGAGACACUAGUCCUCCUCCUGCCACCUGGCAAGAGAGUCAAGCUGGGUGGUGCCGGUGAUUCCCCUCCGGGCAGCUGGAUUCUGCAGUCCAGCUGAGAGGUGGUAGUGUUGGAUAAGCAGAAUCCAGGGCUUGGAGGCAAGUGGCAAUGCCCAGGGGGACAACAGGCAGCCGCUGCAGAGUGAUCUGGCCCAAGCCACUGGGCCCAGAGGUGCGGGACCCCUAGUGACCAAGCCCUCCUGACCAGCACCUUCCCGUUUUCUGCAAAAGGGGUGCAGCCGCGCUUGGGUUAGGGAGGUGGAAAACCCACUCCGCUGUCGGCCAACGAGGUGGGUCAGGGUGGGGCCUCAGGGCGACCGCGGGUUCCCUGUCACCCUACCUCUGAACACAUACAUUCUUAGAUGGGAGCUCGUGACCUCGUGUGGUCGCCCUUUUGACCUCAAGCAUCUGCAGCUGUUGGGAGCUUCUAACAUCCAGCUGACAUCUGGCUCUCCCUGCAGCAUGUCACACGUGCCCCAGGGAUGGCCCUACAGAACUGGCCAGAAGCCAGGCAGAGGGUGGGUGAGAGUGGGGGGCGGGGCUCCUGGGCCCUGUGGCCAUGGGCCAGGGGCAGAGGCCCCCUUCCCUGAACUCUGACUCCUUCCAGCCCCCAUCUGCAGCCUGGGUCAGGGAGGGAGGCCAGUCCCGCGGGCCCUGCUGGGUGGGCGGAGCCCACGCCGUGAUAAUCUGCAGCCUGGGGCAGGGGGGGAGGCCAGUCCCGCGGGCCCUGCUGGGUGGGCGGAGCCCACGCUGUGAUAAAUUCACCCCUGAAGGAGGAGAAAAGCCACCGUUCCCGAGGGCUCCCACCCAUCGGGCCUCCACAGUGGGAACGCUGGGGCGAUGAGGGUGGGAGACCGCCCAGAUGGACUGGGUUGGAGCCCCACCGCCUCCUCCCAUGACCUAAAGCUGGCGAGAACCUCUCAACGCCUCGGUGGGUUUCCCGUCUGUAAAACGGGAGGGCAGCAGAACGCUCCCUCGCGGACUGUGAGAAAUAUAACUGGUGCCGUUGGGCGGGCGCGGCGUGCAGCCAACAGCAGGCGCUGGAGGAGGAUACCCGGGAACUUGGGGGUGGCGAUAGAGCCGACCGGCCCAAGUCCGGGGAUGGGGCGCCAGGCCUGCCCCGCUUCCCGUGCGAGCCGCAUGGCCUGGGCACGUCCUCGAAGGCGGCCGGGAGAGGGCGGCCAGCUGCCCGGGCCACAGCCGCAUAGGUCCCGGCAGGUGCCCUGGCCUCCGUCGCUCCACGAGGGGCCGUGAUCGGCAGAGACGGACACCCCCAGUGGCCAAUGGCAAGCCGGCGUCUCCCCGCGCUCGUCCAGUCGGCGCCGGUUGCCGGGCCUCCCGACCAAUGGGAACAGUGGCGGCGGCGGGGAGGGGCGAGGGUCGCGGCGCCGGCAGGCCGGCUUUGCGCACGGGCCGCGCAAGGGCGGAGGGCUGGCCCGGGUUGCGCGGGGCGCUGAGGGUGCGCCCCGCACCGGCGCGAUCGGAGGCCCCCGGACGGUCACCCGCGCCCGCCCGGGGACGCCGCGCGCCGAGGGACCGGCGGACGCCCGUCUGGGGCGGGGGCCG